GAUGCAUUUUUGCCUUUAUCGUAGUAGUACUGUAAAAUAUGCCGUAUUUUCUCUUUAUUUUGCUCCAUGUGUGCGACGCUAUUACUCACGAAUAGGGUUGCCAACCAUACUUUAUUAUAAAGUAUCCUACUUUAUUUUCCAAAAGUAUACUUUAUACUUUUGUAUAAAAAUAAAGCAUCGAAAAUACUUUAUUUCAUCCAUUUACAAGCGAACAACUAUUUAUCGAUAGUUUAAGUUCAAUUAAAAUGAACGUACGAUGAAAAUUAUCAUUAAUUGCUAAACACACCGACACAUGUUACUGGUGCCAUCUUUCACAAAUGUAAUAUGUUCGUCCCAUGUCUUACAAAUAUAUGGCAUGUGCUAUCGCUUAAACAUCAAAUUACUCCUGCCAUCUCUUACAAAAGUCAAGUUUUCUGUCCAUUGGAAAGUAAAUGUUACUUUUUCCAAAAUGUGUUCUUCUGAUAGUGAUAUACCAGCUACGCCAAAAAAAAACGAAAAUCAGCAAAUUAAAAGUUAUGCAAAAAUACAAACCCGAGUGGGAAAAACAGUACGGAUGGGUAACAAGUGAUUCCCAAAAUAAAACUAAUGCAAGGUGUACAAUAUGUGCAGUGAAUUUUAAAAUAGGUUCAGGUGGCAUUGGCCAGAUUAAGCAACAUUAAGAAACUCAAAAACACAAGUUUAAAGCUGAAG